ACAGACGAUACCAAAGAAGAAGAAGAAGAAGAUGACGGCCUUGACAGACGUGAUCCGCUAGAACGUGCCMUCGUCGCGGUUAGGGAUUAUGCAUAUCACAGUGCGAAAAGCAGCAGAUCGCCGUUUGGUUUUAUCCCAGUGCCAGAAGGACCACUUGUAUCAUUGCCCCUUCUGCCAGCCCUCAAUUUUCAAGCCCCGAGACUAUGCCAGUGUGUUGACACACAUUGAGUCGCACAGAUUGAAGGCUGUGCUGCAUAGAGAGUUCACAAUAUUCAUAUGCCAUCUGGAGUGCAGAGAAGCAAAGCAUUUCCACUGCCCAUAUUGCCCCAAGACCUAUGUAAAUAGGAGUGAUUUUACCAAACACAUUCCACAAUGUGAGUCAGUAUGUUAUCGAGCCCCAGGUUCAACAGCGAGAGCCCCAGAUGUAACCAGUGCAUCGGCGAGAGCCCCAGAUGUAACCAGUGCAUCGGCGAGAGCCCCAGAUGUAACCAGUGCAUCGGAGAGCCCCAGAUGUAACCAGUGCAACGGCGAGAGAUCCAGGUUCAGCGUGUCCAGCUGUGAAACCUGCAGUCAAGCGGAAAAUCAAAUGUUGCAACUGCAGUUUGUGGCUUAACAAAAAAAACCUAAGGAAACAUCAACUUAGAAAGCAUACAUCUCCUGAGAAGGGUAUUACAGCUCACUCCAAUCUCAAGAGUCAGUGCCUUGACCAGGACAAUUGGGUGUUUGCAGAGGAUAAACACAUCCACCCUGUCUCUCCUCCUUCUGUGCUAAUUCGGGAAAUGCUUACCAAGCAAGAGAUGAUACUGGAACAACAGACACUCAUCCUACGACUCUUACAAACAGCACAGCAGAAUGGAGCCGAAUAUGCGAUCGAAGGAGGCCUUCUGCCAUUGAAGGAUCAACAAAGUCUCCAGAGGCUGGAAACCGAUCUUCAGGGGGCUGACUUCAAACUUAAACUGAUUAACCACUUGAGCCUCAUUGGGGGAUGCGAUGUGAAGGAUGUCAUGUGGCGUUUAAUGAGGCACACAAUUUCCAAUGCGCUGGCAAAGAACAUGAAUUGGAGAGGAGUGAAUAGGAAAAUCUCUCUUGGAUCUCUUCGACUGAGAGAGGUUUUGAUUGCUGUUGUCCGGAAGAAUCCGUUAACAUCUAAAGCAUCCGAGAGCGAUGUGGAGUCUGUCAUGAAAAAGUGGUUGCAGCUGGCAGCAUAUCGGGAAGGAGGGAGAAGGAGACGAGACAGGAGUGUGGUGGCACCUGUGCCAUGAUGGACUUGGGGAGAGGGGUUUAUUUAAGUGAUAAUGCCCAAAAAGCCGUGGUUUGGAGGACAUAUUGGCAUUCGUCUCGGGCCAGCAAACCGUGCCAAUAUGUAAUCCAAACUCUAGCUUUGAGGGCAUUAUCACUUUAAUACAAUGGUUACCAACCUAUGAAAAUAUGUAAAUCAUUAUUUUAAUUCAAUGUUAUUUUGAUGAAUUUAUUAAUAUAAUUUCCAUCCUUUCUCGAGAUAUAGUCCCAAACACAAAUCUAGGGUCGCUUGUUGUUCAUUCUAUUGGCAUCGUUGCCAGCCAAACCGGUCGUAAGUUCUAUAUGUUCAAUGCCAAGCUAGCUUAGCUGUCUAAGSUAAAUAGCUAUACUAGACCAAAUUUGAUUUGAAUCAAUUUGUUAUCCUCGCACUUUAGCUAGCUACUAUGAAAACCAGACCUACUUGCUGUCUGUCUCGUUUGGACAGUUUCUAUGAUUUGGUGGAGAUAGCAAAUCAAAAUUGUAUUUGUCACAUGCGCAGGAAAUGUUUACUUACAAGCCUUAAACCAACAAUGCCGUUUUAAGA